CCCUUAGAUGUUCUGGGCCGCACGCGCGCUACACUGAUGCAUUCAACGAGUCUAAAACCUGGUCUGAUAGGGCUGGGUAAUCUUUUGAAAGUGCAUCGUGAUUGGGAUAGAUGAUUGCAAUUCUUCAUCUUCAACGAGGAAUGCCUAGUAAACGCAAGUCAUCAGCUUGCAUUGAUUACGUCCCUGCCCUUUGUACACACCGCCCGUCGCUCCUACCGAUUGAAUGAUCCGAUGAAUACCAUGGAUUGAGAGUACGAAUGGGUUCGCUCAUUUCUGCUGCUCGAGAAGUGGAGUAAAUCUUAUCAUUUAGAGGAAGGAGAANUCGUAACA
rnacentral:rRNA from 1 species